CCCUUAGAUGUUCUGGGCCGCACGCGCGCUACACUGACGAUGGCAACGAGUUUUUCCUUCGCCGAAAGGUGUGGGUAAUCUUUUGAAACAUCGUCGUGCUGGGGAUAGAUCAUUGCAAUUUUUGAUCUUGAACGUGGAAUUCCUAGUAAGCGCGAGUCAUCAGCUCGCGUUGAUUACGUCCCUGCCCUUUGUACACACCGCCCGUCGCUACUACCGAUUGAAUGGUUUAGUGAGGACUCCUGAUUGGCGCCGCCGCCCCGGCAACGGAGCAGCGGACUGCCGAAAAGUUGUUCAAACUUGAUCAUUUAGAGGAAGUAAAAGUCGUAACA
rnacentral:rRNA from 1 species